CUGUCAUCAGCCCCAAUCUCCUCUGUGAUCACUUUAACCCUUUCCAGAUAUACAAAUGGGUCAUCCCCUUUUUCAUACUGGGGAGCACCCAAUUUCAUGUAGUCAGUCAUCUUAACCUUGCUCCCACUGGCUGAGCUAGGUCUAGAUGGCUGAGCAACUGGGGCUGCUGGUUCUGUAGGUGGUGGAGGUGGUGCAACAUUUUUUGAGGUA
rnacentral:lncRNA from 1 species